GACGAACGCUGGCGGCGUGCCUAACACAUGCAAGUCGAACGGAGUUAAGUCUUCGGAUUUAACUUAGUGGCGAACGGGUGAGUAACGCGUGAGGAACCUACCUUUCAGUGGGGGACAACAGUUGGAAACGACUGCUAAUACCGCAUAACAUGUACGGAUCGCAUGAUCUGUACAUCAAAGAUUUAUUGCUGAAAGAUGGCCUCGCGUCUGAUUAGAUAGUUGGUGAGGUAACGGCUCACCAAGUCGACGAUCAGUAGCCGGUCUGAGAGGAUGAACGGCCACAUUGGGACUGAGAUACGGCCCAGACUCCUACGGGAGGCAGCAGUGGGGAAUAUUGGGCAAUGGGGGAAACCCUGACCCAGCAACGCCGCGUGAAGGAAGAAGGCCUUCGGGUUGUAAACUUCUUUUACCAGGGACGAAGAACGUGACGGUACCUGGAGAAAAAGCAACGGCUAACUACGUG
rnacentral:rRNA from 1 species